UUUUUUUAUAUGAUGAUUACAGUGCAAACCUCUGGAAACUGUAAUCUGAUGGAUGACAUGAAAAA
rfam:Gasterosteus aculeatus cont1.003502, whole genome shotgun sequence.